GAUGAACGCUGACAGAAUGCUUAACACAUGCAAGUCAACUUGAAUUUGGGUUUUUAACUUAGGUUUGGGUGGCGGACGGGUGAGUAACGCGUAAAGAACUUGCCUCACAGCUAGGGACAACAUUUGGAAACGAAUGCUAAUACCUAAUAUUAUGAUAAUAGGGCAUCCUAUAAUUAUGAAAGCUAUAAGCGCUGUGAGAGAGCUUUGCGUCCCAUUAGCUAGUUGGAGAGGUAACGGCUCACCAAGGCGAUGAUGGGUAGCCGGCCUGAGAGGGUGAUCGGCCACAAGGGGACUGAGACACGGCCCUUACUCCUACGGGAGGCAGGAGUGGGGAAUAUGGGACAAUGGACCGAGAGUCUGAUCCAGCAAUUCUGUGUGCACGAUGAAGUUUUUCGGAAUGUAAAGUGCUUUCAGUUGGGAAGAAACAAAUGACGGUACCAACAGAAGAAGUGACGGCUAAAUACGUG
rnacentral:rRNA from 1 species